AACGAACGCUGGCGGCAUGCCUAACACAUGCAAGUCGAACGAGACCUUCGGGUCUAGUGGCGCACGGGUGCGUAACGCGUGGGAACCUGCCCUUAGGUUCGGAAUAACUCCCCGAAAGGGGUGCUAAUACCGGAUAAUGUCUUCGGACCAAAGAUUUAUCGCCUUUGGAUGGGCCCGCGUUGGAUUAGCUAGUUGGUAGGGUAAAAGCCUACCAAGGCGACGAUCCAUAGCUGGUCUGAGAGGAUGAUCAGCCACACUGGGGCUGAGACACGGCCCAGACUCCUACGGGAGGGAGCAGUGGGGAAUAUAGGACAAUGGGCGAAGGCCUGAUCCAGCAAUGCCGCGUAAGAGAUGAAGGCCUUAGGGUUGUAAAGCUCUUUUACCCGGGACGGUAAUGACAGUACCGGGAGAAUAAGCACCGGCUAACUCCGUG
rnacentral:rRNA from 1 species